rnacentral:rRNA from 1 species
GACGAACGCUGGCGGCGUGCCUAAUACAUGCAAGUAGAACGCUGAAGAGAGGAGCUUACUCUUCUUGGAUGAGUUGCGAACGGGUGAGUAACGCGUAGGUAACCUGCCUUGUAGCGGGGGAUAACUAUUGGAAACGAUAGCUAAUACCGCAUAACAAUGGAUGGCACAUGUCAUUUAUUUGAAAGGGGCAAUUGCUCCACUACAAGAUGGACCUGCGUUGUAUUAGCUAGUAGGUGAGGUAAUGGCUCACCUAGGCGACGAUACAUAGCCGACCUGAGAGGGGGAUCGGCCACACUGGGACUGAGACACGGCCCAGACUCCUACGGGAGGCAGCAGUAGGGAAUCUUCGGCAAUGGGGGCAACCCUGACCGAGCAACGCCGCGUGAGGGAAGAAGGUUUUCGGAUCGUAAAGCUCUGUUGUAAGUCAAGAACGGGUGUGAGAGUGGAAAGUUCACACUGUGACGGUAGCUUACCAGAAAGGGACGGCUAACUACGUG